GAAUUUUAUACAUUAGUAAAUGAAGAGGUAUGGACCAAGAAAAUCCCAGAGCAACACGUCUGUGAGCUGCACAAUCAUCUAGUAUAUUUUGAAGACAACUGUCUACAAUGUGAAGCAUGUCAAGAAAUAUUCGGAAAUAAGACACAACCAAAGAAGAAAGGUUGCAGAGGAAUAUUUGAAAGUAAAG